CAAGGCCACCCAUAUGGUCCAGAAAACCGACACAUGCGGGUUGCCCGCGAGGCGGCCAUGGCGACCUGCGGCGACAACCAACCCGACCUCUCUCUCUCUGCUUCUACGCGACAAUGAUGGCACUACGGGUUGGUGAAGGUUGGGCUUUAUACCCUGUAGCAAUCGAAGUCCAUGCGGGAGGAAGACACGACCGACGAUCACGGCGCAGUGGUUAUGUUGUUGAAGCAGCGCCGGAGGUGGAAUUUGUUGCACUCCCUCCGGUGUUCAGUUUCAGGAGGAAGAUGACCUGACAGUAUGGGGCCCGUGUGGCGAUGUCCAGGCACGCGCGCAGACUCCGGUUGAGACCGCCGACUUGUGGGCCCCACGGCACGGUGAGCACGGCUGAGCGCGCGCCAGAGGCGCAGGGCCGGUGCUGAGGGUGAGUUGGGCUAGAGUGUUGAGGGUUCGGCCCAGCUGGUAUUUUUAUCCUUUUUUGAAUUCUAUUUCCCUUCCUUUAUUCAAAUUUGGGUUCAAAACCAGUUUUGAGUUUUCCCAUUCAUAUUUAAAUGCACAAGUAAUAAAACCUCCAGCAUGUAUGCAAAAUAUAGUUUAUAUAUGUAUAUCAAUUUGUUUUAUCUAAAUAUCUUAAAUAUGCAUUACACCCCAUAUUCAUUUUUCAGAAAAUAUUAUUUGGGAUAUAUAGUCAAAUUAAAAGUUUAGUCAAAAAUAUUUGUUUCAAUAAAAUACUUUCUAAUGCAUAAUCUCUAUCAUGUGAUACUUUUACUUCAAUCCUUUUUUAGAAGGCUUUCUACCAUUUAGUCUAUAAAAGUGGUUCAAUAAUCGAGGCUCAUUUCUCUUGUAUUCUUUGGAAUUUCAUACCAUGUUUGAGACCUAGAUCCAUGUUCUAAACUAUUAAUACUUUUAAUAAUACCAUUUCUUUUAGGGAGCAUGAUAUCUUCAAA
rnacentral:lncRNA from 1 species